GGAUUAGAUACCCUGGUAGUCCACGCCGUAAACGAUGAAUGCUAGGUGUUGGCCUGUAACGGGUCGGUGCCGCAGCUAACGCAUUAAGCAUUCCACCUGGGGAGUACGAUCGCAAGAUUGAAACUCAAAGGAAUUGACGGGGGCCCGCACAAGCGGUGGAGCAUGUGGUUUAAUUCGACGCAACGCGAAGAACCUUACCAGGUCUUGACAUCCCAUUGACCGCACCUUAACCGGUGUCUCUCUUCGGAGCAAUGGAGACAGGUGGUGCAUGGUUGUCGUCAGCUCGUGCCG
rnacentral:rRNA from 1 species